UACGUAGGGCCCAAGCGUUGUUCGGAUUUACUGGGCGUAAAGGGCGCGUAGGCGGCGCGUUAAGUCACUUGUGAAAUCUCUGAGCUUAACUCAGAACGGCCAAGUGAUACUGCAGUGCUAGAGUGUGGAAGGGGCAAUCGGAAUUCUUGGUGUAGCGGUGAAAUGCGUAGAUAUCAAGAGGAACACCUGAGGCGAAGGCGGGUUGCUAGGCUGACACUGACGCUGAGUGCGCGAAAGCCAGGGGAGCAAACGGG
rnacentral:rRNA from 1 species